rnacentral:misc_RNA from 1 species
GAUGAAGAACGUAGCGAAAUGCGAUAAGUAAUGUGAAUUGCAGAAUUCAGUGAAUCAUCGAAUCUUUGAACGCACAUUGCGCCCGCCAGUAUUCUGGCGGGCAUGCCUGUUCGAGCGUCAUUACAACCCUCAGGCCCCCGGGCCUGGCGUUGGGGAUCGGCGGAAGCCCCCUGCGGGCACAACGCCGUCCCCCAAAUACAGUGGCGGUCCCGCCGCAGCUUCCAUUGCGUAGUAGCUAACACCUCGCAACUGGAGAGCGGCGCGGCCACGCCGUAAAACACCCAGCUUCUGAAUGUUGACCUCGAAUCAGGUAGGAAUACCCGCUGAACUUAAGCAUAUCAAUAAGCGGAGGA